GCGCACCUUCGGGUGAGCGGCGGACGGGUUAGUAACGCGUGGGAACGUACCCAGAUCUAAGGAAUAGCCACUGGAAACGGUGAGUAAUACCUUAUACGCCCUUCGGGGGAAAGAUUUAUCGGAUUUGGAUCGGCCCGCGUUAGAUUAGGUAGUUGGUGGGGUAAUGGCCUACCAAGCCUACGAUCUAUAGCUGGUUUUAGAGGAUGAUCAGCAACACUGGGACUGAGACACGGCCCAGACUCCUACGGGAGGCAGCAGUGGGGAAUCUUAGACAAUGGGGGCAACCCUGAUCUAGCCAUGCCGCGUGAGUGAAGAAGGUCUUAGGAUCGUAAAGCUCUUUCGCCAGGGAUGAUAAUGACAGUACCUGGUAAAGAAACCCCGGCUAACUCCGUGCCAGCAGCCGCGGUAAUACGGAGGGGGUUAGCGUUGUUCGGAAUUACUGGGCGUAAAGCGCGCGUAGGCGGAUCAGAAAGUUGGGGGUGAAAUCCCAGGGCUCAACCCUGGAACUGCCUCCAAAACUCCUGGUCUUGAGUUCGAGAGAGGUGAGUGGAACUCCGAGUGUAGAGGUGAAAUUCGUAGAUAUUCGGAAGAACACCAGUGGCGAAGGCGGCUCACUGGCUCGAUACUGACGCUGAGGUGCGAAAGUGUGGGGAGCAAACAGGAUUAGAUACCCUGGUAGUCCACACCGUAAACGAUGAAUGCCAGUCGUCGGGUAGUAUACUAUUCGGUGACACACCUAACGGAUUAAGCAUUCCGCCUGGGGAGUACGGUCGCAAGAUUAAAACUCAAAGGAAUUGACG
rnacentral:rRNA from 1 species